AUUGAACGCUGGCGGCAUGCUUUACACAUGCAAGUCGAACGGUAACAGGGAGCUUGCUCCGCUGACGAGUGGCGAACGGGUGAGUAAUGCGUCGGAACGUGCCGAGUAGUGGGGGAUAACGCAUCGAAAGGUGUGCUAAUACCGCAUACGAACUGAGGUUGAAAGUGGGGGACCUUCGGGCCUCACGCUAUUCGAGCGGCCGCCUACUGAUUAGCUAGUUGGUGAGGUAAGGGCUCACCAAGGCGACGAUCAGGAGCGGGUCUGAGAGGAUGAUCCGCCACACUGGGACUGAGACACGGCCCAGACUCCUACGGGAGGCAGCAGUGGGGAAUUUUGGACAAUGGGCGCAAGCCUGAUCCAGCCAUGCCGCGUGUCUGAAGAAGGCCUUCGGGUUGUAAAGGACUUUUGUCCGGGAGCAAAUGCUGGUGGCUAACAUCCACCGGAGCUGAGAGUACCGGAAGAAUAAGCACCGGCUAACUACGUGCCAGCCGCCGCCGUAAAAC
rnacentral:rRNA from 1 species